rfam:Caenorhabditis brenneri strain PB2801 C_brenneri-6.0.1_Cont91.14, whole genome shotgun sequence.
CGAGUUUUGUACUAAACAUAGGUACUGAAAUAAAAUAUUUUAUUUACUCAGUUCCUAGUCUAGUGCAAGGGUUGC